rnacentral:rRNA from 1 species
UACUGAGUGGCGAACGGGUGAGUAACACGUGGGUGAUCUGCCCUGCACUUCGGGAUAAGCUUGGGAAACUGGGUCUAAUACCGGAUAGGAGCCAUCUUUAGUGUGGUGGUUGGAAAGUUUUUUCGGUGUAGGAUGAGCUCGCGGCCUAUCAGCUUGUUGGUGGGGUAAUGGCCUACCAAGGCGGCGACGGGUAGCCGGCCUGAGAGGGUGUACGGCCACAUUGGGACUGAGAUACGGCCCAG